UAGGGAAUAUUGCGCAAUGGGGGAAACCCUGACGCAGCGACGCCGCGUGAGUGAUGAAGGCCUUCGGGUCGUAAAGCUCUGUUGCAAGGGAAUAAAAAAAUGAAUGUACCUUGUGAGGAAGGAUCGGCUAACUUCGUGCCAGCAGCCGCGGUAAGACGAGGGAUCCUAGCGUUGUUCGGAAUCAUUGGGCGUAAAGCGGGUGUAGGUGGCUUUGUAAGUCGGGUGUGAAAGCCCAGGGCUCAACCCUGGAAGUGCAUUCGAUACUGCGAAGCUUGAGUGUUGGAGAGGUUAUCGGAAUACCUGGUGUAGUGGUGAAAUACGUAGAUAUCAGGUGGAACACCGGAGGCGAAGGCGGGUAACUGGCCAAACACUGACACUGAGACCCGAAAGUGUGGGGAUCAAACAGG
rnacentral:rRNA from 1 species